rnacentral:tRNA from 1 species
UAGGCCUUAGCUUAAUUAAAGUGUUUGAUUUGCAUUCAGAAGAUGUAUAUUAAAAUUAUACAGGUCUUA